CUGUUCAAUCUACAGGGUUCUUUAAAAGUUUGAGGCAUUUCCUAAACUGUAGCUAACUAUGGAGAAUGUAGCAGAAGUGACAUUGUACAAGUGAAAGACCCUGCACAGCCACCAGGCGAACAGACCAGAAUAGCCUGCUGGAGGACGAGAGUCAAAGCACUCCAGCUGCCAGCCAGCCCUGCCCCUCUGCAAAACCUCAGCUAACCACAGACACAUGAUGUUGAGAUAAUGGGAGACAAAGAAAGAAUGAGGACCUCUCCCAAAUUAGAG